ensembl:lncRNA
AAGUGGGAACUAAAACACUCGUCAGCGGUGAUGUGGAGGGCUCCGCGUUAUUUUGCAAACAGGUGACAAUAGGUCAACCUCAAAGACACGAUCUUGUAUAACAGAUGAAGUCAUGAGUACAUACACAAGAAGAAGACUCAGUCCUCAAAGGCAGCACAACAUAAGAGGUCCAAGACAAAGCAACGAUACUCAAGCACAACAUGGUGUUGCACCUAUGAGGAGAGUAGAUAGAGUAGACUGCCCAUUUCCAAACAAGCCCGUUAUCCACAGAAGAAUCUUCAACCACAGGGCACAAUACUCACCUGAUCUUUAUGAUCUUGAAAAAAUGACCAUUACAAAACAACCAAGAGGCUAUUUUUUGCCCCAGGGACCUCAUUUAGAUGGGACCAGAGAGACCGCAGGAUCCCAGCAUCGAAGGAAAGACCUACAUAGACUGUGCAGUGGAGAACUGCAGAUCGUCCAAGCAAUUCACGCAAAAGAACUGAAGCUGCAGGAGAAGCUGUGCAGGGUUGAGGACAAAAUAAGACAAAAGAUCAGGAGGGAUACUGUUGAGGCUGCUGCAGGUAAUGAUGAGAUGAAGAGGGAGGAGAGGGGAGGCAGGGGACAACCAGAGAGGGGAGAAGCUAGGACUAAACCUGGGCCGUCUGAGCUGCACAGGAGAGAAGCAGUGAGAAGCAGAGAACUGUUGAUUCAAGAAAUAAGGCAAGAGGAUGUCAAACAACUUGGGAAGAGGCUAAAUCAGUGGGAUGAGGACAGAAUGAGGGAUACGCAUGAAGAAGACGAGGCCAGGUGGAAUAGAAGUGAGAGAGAAUAUGCAGGGCUUCCCCAGUCCAAAGGAAAUUUGAUUAAAGGAACUCAUAAAAUCACUGUCGGCAAGCAAAGAGUGAGUGGAGAGCUGAACACGUCAAGAUGGGAGAACGUCAAAGAGCAUGCCAGACGAAAAGGGUAUGAAAGGGAUCAUCGCGUUUGGGGAGAAGCAGCUUUGAGGCCACAGGAUGGAAUAGAGAAAGGAAAAGAAAGAGAACAAUAUAAGACAUCAAUAGACGUGACAAAAGAAAAGAAACAUAUGGAAAGAACAUGCAAGGACAUGUACGAUGCACAAGACAUCCCACAAAUAAGUCAACACAAAACUACUGACAGACUUGCAACAGAAAACCACGGAGGUGCGGAACGUAAAACACAGAGGGAAUCGUCUCUCCCACCAAUUUCUAGUCCUUCUCACUCCGGCGGAGUCCAGAAGGAGCAGCUGGGGCUCGAGGACAUCGCAGACGCCAGCCUCCAGCUCCUCCCGUGCAGAAUCUGCAACAGGAGAUUUGCAAGUGAAAGGCUGGAGAAGCACAUGCAAGUCUGUCAAAAACUUGAGCAAAAACAGCGUCAAGUCUUCAACUCUUAUGCAAAUAGGACCAAAGGAUCUGCCAUGGAGGAGUUCCUGAAAACCCACAGCAGGAGCAAGACUCCAGAGGUUUUCCAGAAAAAGAAACAAAGGCAAACCGACGAGGCAAAAACAAAGCGCGUGCAGCAGAGUCGACCCCCAGCUGGAACCUCGCUGCCGAAAUGGUCCAAGGGAUCGGCCUACAUCGAUAAAAGAAAUUGA